UACGGAGGGAGCUAGCGUUGUUCGGAAUUACUGGGCGUAAAGCGCGCGUAGGCGGCUUUGUAAGUUAGAGGUGAAAGCCCGGGGCUCAACUCCGGAACUGCCUUUAAGACUGCAUCGCUUGAAUCCGGGAGAGGUGAGUGGAAUUCCGAGUGUAGAGGUGUAAUUCGUAGAUAUUCGGAAGAACACCAGUGGCGAAGGCGGCUCACUGGACCGGUAUUGACGCUGAGGUGCGAAAGCGUGGGGAGCAAACAGG
rnacentral:rRNA from 1 species